UUAUAGUGGCCUCCAUCAACAGCAUCUUUGGCUGUUUACGCCGCCGUAUGAACAGAGGCACUUAAACAGGAGACAAAUGUCUGUGGGAGCAAUUUAUAUGAUUGUAUCUUGUUCAUAUUCAUCCUCAUAAAGAGCCUCCAUGAUUCACUGUGUGGAGGACAUAUUUGAAUCGAUGGCAGAUAGGCCCUCUAAACCCACUCCAACUUCUGUCUUUCUCUCGCCCACUUGGGAUCUGCAGCACUAUAACACCACAGACUAAAUCCGGUGAUACUCCUGCAGUAUUUGAAGCAUGUGUGGCUGCAUAAUGAGCAGGUGAGAGCAUCUUUAUUUACAGGAAUCGCCGGAGAUGCAACACAGUGAAUGUAACUGAACCAUUUUUUACCUGCAUAGCGGUUUAUGGUGCCGUUUUUCUAUUGUUCUGAAGAGAAGUUGAAUUAGUGAGGCAUCAGUGUUGACUAAACACUGGUAUUAUGAAUGUAGAUGCUUAAGAACCUUAAGCAAAAUAGCAACGCAGGGCCACAUAUGAAAGCCAAGAUCAGGGAUUGACUCAUCAACAGUUUUCACCUCAUUUCCAUGUAGCAUAGCAAAAUCCCAUUAAUCACAAAUGUCUUCUUUUUAAUAAAUAUGCAAAUUUAUAUUAGCCGAUUGGUGUU
ensembl:lncRNA